rnacentral:rRNA from 1 species
AACGAACGCUGGCGGCAGGCCUAACACAUGCAAGUCGAGCGAGCAUUUCGGUGCUAGCGGCGGACGGGUGAGUAACGCGUGGGAACGUGCCCUUUUCUGCGGAAUAGUCCUGGGAAACUGGGGGUAAUACCGCAUACGCCCUUUUGGGGAAAGAUUUAUCGGAGAAGGAUCGGCCCGCGUUGGAUUAGGUAGUUGGUGGGGUAAUGGCCCACCAAGCCGACGAUCCAUAGCUGGUUUGAGAGGAUGAUCAGCCACACUGGGACUGAGACACGGCCCAGACUCCUACGGGAGGCAGCAGUGGGGAAUCUUAGACAAUGGGGGCAACCCUGAUUUAGCCAUGCCGCGUGAGUGAUGAAGGCCUUAGGGUUGUAAAGCUCUUUCAGCUGGGAAGAUAAUGACGGUACCAGCAGAAGAAGCCCCGGCUAACUCCGU